rfam:Medicago truncatula strain A17 chromosome 5, whole genome shotgun sequence.
ACAAUACUCCCUCCGUCCCAAAAUGUAAGCAAAAAUUGGUCAACAAAAGUUAAUGUAUUUGGUUCAAAAUUUAUGCCACAUUCAUCAACUUAUGUUAACCCAUUUUUGCUUACAUUUUGGGACGGAGGGAGUAUGUA